CAUCGCGUCGUCCAUCGAGAAUGCGGUAUACGGUGUCUCUCUGCGUCAAGAUUGACACGUGGUUGCUCGAAAUACGAACACGUAAAUUCCAUGUUCUUGCUUUUAGUAUUUAUUUCUUCGUUCUUACGCGAAUGUUUAAUAUAAUGAUGACAACGAUUGCAAAUUGAAAGAUAGAAAGAAACUCGAAGUAUAUGAGUGUUGUGUCAUUUUUUUAUUGGAAUAUCAUCACGUUCGUUCUCGUGACUGUGUGGUGUGAAUUAUUUCGUAUACAGAACUGAUUGCUAUACGUACGGAGAUGAUCGCAAAGGUUCAUCAUGACGUUUUACAAAGGAUUAAGGAGGUUCACAAUGCCAUCCAUUUUCCAUGUAGCCAGGGAUUGAUAUAUCAUUGUCAGGUGGUAAACUAUACUUUGGAUUAAUCGUGGAAAAUAUAAUAAAUGUUGCCCUGGAACGUUUCUGAUAGAAAGAGUCCAUAAAUAAAACUGCGCCAGUUACCAUCCUCAAAUCAUCUUAAGAAAGUCCAACGUUCUAUAUUGUCACACUGAAUACAGAUUAAUUGAAAUAAAGCUACACGAUGCAAGAGGACAUCAUCGCUAUAUCAUCUCUGAAGAAACGAGCCACUGAAAUCCUCAUGUAAUAAUUCUCUCUCUGGAAACAUUCAUUGUGGAAUAUUUUAAAAAAUACAAUUCAUAUCAACAAAGAAAAAUUUAUUUUUCAUGGAAAGAGAAAAAGUAGAAAAUAACACGAGAACAUAAAGAAUGGCAAAAAAUAUCGUGUGACUUGAAUAUAAUGAUAAAUAUCGAGGGAACAUAAUUUGAGAAAGUUUGGAAAGUACAGUAGAAUAGGACGUCCAGGAUGUCCUGUGAGAAGGCAUCGCGGCGUCUCAAGUUCUUGCUCAGCAAGACCAAGAGAUUAGGUUUGAGUACCGACGAGGUUGUCGGCUUGCCAGCGGCCAAAAGACUAUUAUCUGCCCGUGUGACUGCAGCCUCUACCGUAUGGACGAUCUUGGCCAUGAUCGCUUUAAUCCUUGGCGGUGGUACGAUAUUAAUCUUCUUCUGUGCGCCUUGUAUUACUAGGAGCAGAACGUGAGGCACGUUGUAUCGAUAAUCGUCCCAAAAUUCAUCAGAUUAAAUAUGUCUGUCCUUUGGCUCGUGGACUUGAGCUAGAAAGUAUUUUAAGAUUUCAUUUACAUAAUUAAUUUAAGCGCGAUAUUCGUGGUCGACUGUAACCUUUCAUACUUAUAAAUGAAAUUACAGAAAAAAAGGAAUAAAUCUUUUAACAAGGAGAGUGGUGAAAUUAAAGAAAAUUCGUAGUGUCCGUGUAAAGAUACCAGAAUAAGUUGCAAAGUCGCAGCGCGACCUUAGAUCUUCCAUAAUUUUACGUAACUAUUUGAAUCAAUUUUACCCGAUGAUAUGUGAAAGUUGUGUAAAAGAAAAAUUAGAUAUAAGAAUGGUUUAAAAUUGUCUGGACAAACCUCUGGUAAAAAUUAUUUUUUCUAAAGAAAUGGAGGAUAAAUUUGACAAUUUUGUUAGGAGCAACCAUUCGACAAUACGGCGUACAGAUAUGAUCUUGCGUAGUUUCUUAACCACGAUGACGAAAAAAUUUCAUCGAAACGAAUUGGUUUACUCUUGUGGAAAUCGAAUUUAAUUGUCACUCGAUUAGAACUUUGCUCAAAUGUACGAAUGAGUUUCUGAACGUUAUAUCGAAGCCAUGUAAAGGAUUACUUUUAUAUGUGACGAAAUAAAUUUUUAGUAAAUUAGAA